rnacentral:rRNA from 1 species
CACGUAGGCACCAAGCGUUGUCCGGAUUUAUUGGGCGUAAAGAGCUCGUAGGCGGUUCAGUAAGUCAGGUGUGAAAUCUUUGGGCUUAACCCAAAGCGUGCACUUGAUACUGCUGUGACUUGAGUUCGGUAGGGGAGUGGGGAAUUCCUAGUGUAGCGGUGAAAUGCGCAGAUAUUAGGAGGAACACCGAUGGCGAAGGCAGGUCUCUGGGCCACUACUGACGCUGAGAAGCGAAAGCAUGGGGAGCGAACAGG